UACGUAGGGGGCAAGCGUUAUCCGGAUUUACUGGGUGUAAAGGGAGCGUAGACGGAAUUGCAAGUCUGAUGUGAAAAUCCGGGGCCCAACCCCGGAACUGCAUUGGAAACUGUAUUUCUAGAGUGUCGGAGAGGCAAGUGGAAUUCCUGGUGUAGCGGUGAAAUGCGUAGAUAUCAGGAGGAACACCAGUGGCGAAGGCGGCUUACUGGACUGUAACUGACGUUGAGGCUCGAAAGCGUGGGGAGCAAACAGG
rnacentral:rRNA from 1 species